rnacentral:rRNA from 1 species
UAGGGAAUCUUCCGCAAUGGGCGAAAGCCUGACGGAGCAACGCCGCGUGAGUGAUGAAGGUCUUCGGAUUGUAAAACUCUGUUAUUAGGGAAGAACAAAUGUGUAAGUAACUAUGCACGUCUUGACGGUACCUAAUCAGAAAGCCACGGCUAACUACGUGCCAGCAGCCGCGGUAAUACGUAGGUGGCAAGCGUUAUCCGGAAUUAUUGGGCGUAAAGCGCGCGUAGGCGGUUUUUUAAGUCUGAUGUGAAAGCCCACGGCUCAACCGUGGAGGGGCAUUGGAAACUGGAAAACUUGAGUGCAGAAGAGGAAAGUGGAAUUCCAUGUGUAGCGGUGAAAUGCGCAGAGAUAUGGAGGAACACCAGUGGCGAAGGCGACUUUCUGGUCUGUAACUGACGCUGAUGUGCGAAAGCGUGGGGAUCAAACAGG